rnacentral:rRNA from 1 species
GGAAGGGGUGUAUUUAUUAGAUUAAAAACCAAUGCCCUUCGGGGCUUUCUGGUGAUUCAUAAUAACUUCUCGAAUCGCAUGGCCUUGCGCCGGCGAUGGUUCAUUCAAAUUUCUGCCCUAUCAACUUUCGAUGGCAGGGUCUUGGCCUGCCAUGGUUACAACGGGUAACGGAGGGUUAGGGCUCGACCCCGGAGAAGGAGCCUGAGAAACGGCUACUACAUCCAAGGAAGGCAGCAGGCGCGCAAAUUACCCAAUCCCGAUUCGGGGAGGUAGUGACAAUAAAUACUGAUACAGGGCUCUUUUGGGUCUUGUAAUUGGAAUGAGUACAAUUUAAAUCCCUUAACGAGGAACAAUUGGAGGGCAAGUCUGGUGCCAGCAGCCGCGGUAAUUCCAGCUCCAAUAGCGUAUAUUAAAGUUGUUGCAGUUAAAAAGCUCGUAGUUGAACCUUGGGCCUGGCUGGCCGGUCCGCCUCACCGCGUGCACUGGUUCGGCCGGGCCUUUCCCUCUGGGGAGCCGCAUGCUCUUCACUGAGUGUGUCGGGGAACCAGGACUUUUAC